rnacentral:rRNA from 1 species
GUACGAGGCGAGGCAGCAAUGCCUAGCGGCGAACGGGUGAGUAACGCGUAAGCAAUCUGCCCCAUAUCAGGAAAUACCCGUGCCAACGCGCGGUUAAUGUCCAGGAGCGUGGCCUUCCGCAUGGGAGGUUGACAAGAGAUUUAUCGGUAUGGGAUGAGCUUGCGUCCGAUUAGCUAGUUGGCGGGGCAACGGCCCACCAAGGCGACGAUCGGUAGCCGGCCUGAGAGGGUGAUCGGCCACAUUGGGACCGAGAUACGGCCCAGACUCCUACGGGAGGCAGCAGUAGGGAAUAUUGCACAAUGGGGGAAACCCUGAUGCAGCAACGCCACGUGUGGGAAGAAGCAUUUCGGUGUGUAAACCACUGUCGUGAGGGAAUAAGGCGUCUUCUCGGAGACGUUGAAUGUACCUCGAAAGGAAGCACCGGCAAACUUCGUGCCAGCAGCCGC